AGGGUUCGAUUCUGGCUCAGGAUGAACGCUGGCGGCGUGCUUAACACAUGCAAGUCGAACGGGAUCCAUCAGGCUUUGCUUGGUGGUGAGAGUGGCGAACGGGUGAGUAAUGCGUGACCGACCUGCCCCAUACACCGGAAUAGCUCCUGGAAACGGGUGGUAAUGCCGGAUGCUCCGACUCCUCGCAUGGGGUGUCGGGAAAGAUUUCAUCGGUAUGGGAUGGGGUCGCGUCCUAUCAGGUAGUCGGCGGGGUAACGGCCCACCGAGCCUACGACGGGUAGCCGGCCUGAGAGGGCGACCGGCCACAUUGGGACUGAGAUACGGCCCAGACUCCUACGGGAGGCAGCAGUGGGGAAUAUUGCACAAUGGGCGCAAGCCUGAUGCAGCGACGCCGCGUGCGGGAUGACGGCCUUCGGGUUGUAAACCGCUUUUGAUCGGGAGCAAGCCUUCGGGUGAGUGUACCUUUCGAAUAAGCACCGGCUAACUACGUGCCAGCAGCCGCGGUAAUACGUAGGGUGCAAGCGUUAUCCGGAAUUAUUGGGCGUAAAGGGCUCGUAGGCGGUUCGUCGCGUCCGGUGUGAAAGUCCAUCGCUUAACGGUGGAUCUGCGCCGGGUACGGGCGGGCUGGAGUGCGGUAGGGGAGACUGGAAUUCCCGGUGUAACGGUGGAAUGUGUAGAUAUCGGGAAGAACACCAAUGGCGAAGGCAGGUCUCUGGGCCGUUACUGACGCUGAGGAGCGAAAGCGUGGGGAGCGAACAGGAUUAGAUACCCUGGUAGUCCACGCCGUAAACGGUGGAUGCUGGAUGUGGGGCCCGUUCCACGGGUUCCGUGUCGGAGCUAACGCGUUAAGCAUCCCGCCUGGGGAGUACGGCCGCAAGGCUAAAACUCAAAGAAAUUGACGGGGGCCCGCACAAGCGGCGGAGCAUGCGGAUUAAUUCGAUGCAACGCGAAGAACCUUACC
rnacentral:rRNA from 1 species